rnacentral:hammerhead_ribozyme from 1 species
AUUUAUCUGAUAAGUCUCAAAUAGGACGAAACACGUGUUCUGAAU